CCCUCUCUCGGAGCGCCACUGGGGUGGAACCGCGAUCAGCCGAGCCCUGGGGCUCUGGCCUCCGCGACGUUCAGCUGCCCCACCGGUAGUUCAUGGCAAAUCUUGUAAUUAAGCAUGGGAUAUG